rnacentral:rRNA from 1 species
GAUGAACGCUGGCGGCGUGCUUAACACAUGCAAGUCGAACGAGAAAUGUAGACGGAAACCUUCGGGCGGAAGCCUUCAUUUCGAGUGGCGGACGGGUGAGUAACGCGUGGGUAACCUGCCUCAUACAGGGGGAUAACAGUUGGAAACGACUGUUAAUACCGCAUAAGACCACAGCAUCGCAUGAUGCGGGGGUAAAAACUCCGGUGGUAUGAGAUGGACCCGCGUUCGAUUAGCCAGUUGGCGGGGUCACGGCCCACCAAAGCGACGAUCGAUAGCCGAUCUGAGAGGAUGACCGGCCACAUUGGGACUGAGACACGGCCCAAACUCCUACGGGAGGCAGCAGUGGGGAAUAUUGCACAAUGGGGGAAACCCUGAUGCAGCGACGCCGCGUGAGUGAAGAAGUACUUCGGUAUGUAAAGCUCUAUCAGCAGGGAAGAAAAUGACGGUACCUGAGUAAGAAGCCCCGGCUAACUACGUG